UGUAAUACAGUUUUCAAAUUACUUUAUGCUGUUACUUUAUUAUAUUCAUGUGAAAGUAUGUGAUCAAUUGUUGCUGCAUCAGAGAUAUUAGAGAUUCUUUAUUAGUUGGGCAUUCUUUGUGACCUUUUCUAUAAAAGAGUAAGUUCAUUAAAAUAUAAGAUGCAUGACAAAAAUAUAAGUGGAGAGGCUCAUUGUAGUUAACCUGUAUUAAGUAAUGUUUAAGGUAGGUGUUCAGAGUAAUACUUCUCUACAUUAUACUGAGAGAAAGAAAUUAUAAAUUAAAGUGUAUCAAUUAUUGUAUUUUACUAAUUUUACUGUUAUGUAAUAAAAUGCAAUAUAUUUAAAAUUGUUAGAUUAUGUGUGAACUUAAUUUAUAUUUUAUUUACUUAUUUAACUUUUCUUUUGAGAUGGAGUCUUGCUCUGUCACCCAGGCUGGAGGGCAGCAGUGCAAUCUCAGCACGAUGACUGCAACCUCUGCCUCCCAAGUUCAAGAAAUUCUCCUGCCUCAGCCUCCCGAGUAGUGGGGACUACAG
rnacentral:sRNA from 1 species